CAGGAGUUAAGGCAGAUGUGGAGGCACAACGGGUGACACCAGACACACCCAAGCACAUUAUGUUCGGACAUUCAAUCAUGACAUGAUUCAUGUGGAUGCUGUCCAUUGAGGAAAGAGUUUGUUCAGCGGUUUCUGGAUAGAAUUAAUUCCAAAGAUGGGAAGAAGUGCACAUGCAGACAAGGAGCAAGCAAAAAGACAAGGAACUUGGUGCAGAGAAAAGCUGUGGCCAUUAACCCCCAUGUGAACAGCUUCAUGCAGUCGCUGAUUGAGUUCGAAUGGACGACUUCAAAGUAAAGGCCACUGUGGUCUGUCUGCCACAGUUUAAUUUUAAAUUUAUUUUUAGUGUUCAAUGAAAUUCAAGUAGAAUAUUUAAAACUAUGGGCCAGUGUUCUUUUUACCACAGUGAAAUGUUACCUUUUAGUCGAUGAUGGACUUUAAACUGAAAACUUCAAACUAUGGACCAGUGUUCUAUUUGCCAGAGUUAAAUAUGUUACAGCAGGGGUCUCCAAACUUGUUUAUACUUGUUGAUUUUAUUUUAUUUAACUUGUUUAUAUGUUUAUUAUUGUUUAAAAUCUUGUUUUAAAUAUGUUUUGUUUCAAUUAAAUGUUUUUUUUAAAUAAAAUUUUGA